rfam:Salmo salar isolate Sally breed double haploid chromosome ssa22, whole genome shotgun sequence.
UGCAUUCACUACUGUAUGAUGCUCUGGAUAAGAGCUUCUGCUAAAUGACUAAAA